rnacentral:lncRNA from 1 species
CUCUACAGUGACUAAAUAAGACUAAAUCAUUUAGAAGGGACUAAAAUUUAGUAGCCCAAACUAAAUACCCCUAACAUAGUUUCGAGUGCUGGCUGUAGACCGAAGACGAGAGUGUAGCUUGCCGACGAGAUGGGCGUGUGGCUGUGACUGCGACAUGUCAGUGUCACUGCGAAUGGGUGCUGGUCAGGCAGGUUCUCCGCAACUGGACCGCUUCCACGUCUGCAUUUUCAAGGAUAGGAAUAUCUUCGUCUUGGCACAGUCCUUAUCAGGGGUACUCCUAAUCCUUAUCAGGGGAGGCCGGUUUGAUCAGCUCGUAAGGCCCUGUUUAGAUUGAAGAUGAAAAUUUUUUAGGUGUCAUAUCGGAUAUGUCGGAAGGAUAUCGGGAGGGGUUUUUUGAAACUAAUAAAGAAAACAAAUUACAUAGCUCGUCAGGAAACUGUCAUACAAAUCUAUUAAGCAUAAUUAAUCUGUCAUUAACACAUGUGGGUUACUGUAGCACUUAAGGCUAAUCAUAGAGUAAUUAAGGUUAAAAGAUUCGUCUCGCGAUUUUCAACUAAACUGCGUAAUUAGUUUAUUUUUUUAUCUACAUUUAAUAUUCCAUACAUGUGUCCAAAGAUUCGAUGGGAUGGAUGAAAAAUUUUUGGGUGAGGAACUAAACGGGGCCUAAGUUGAGUAAAAAGCUAAAAAACGCAGCCGCCGCUAGGUCUUAGGGACACUGAUACAGCGCCGGCGGCGCCGCCGCUAGGUCUUAGGGACACUGACACAGCACCGGCGCCGCCGCCACUCCCGCCUCCACUAUCGUUGAUUCCUCCCCCUCUCUCUCCUUCUCUAGAGGACAAAGGGAGGGGAGAUUUAUUAUUUUUAAUAAGUUUUUUUUUCAAUAGAUCAAGUCUUUUAGUUUUUUUAUGCUAAGUUUUUUUGGUUUUGGAGUUUUAAUUCCUCCUCUUCUCCGGCGACUGCAAGAUAGAAUAGUUUCAGAUUAGUGUUCCUCUUUCUUCGGUGGCAGGAAAAAGAAGAAAGAUACUAGAAAGAAGAAAUUUCUCAACUUCGCUUAUAUAAAUGUUGGCCGUCAUUCGUUGGACAUAUGUUCUCGGGCCUUUUAUCAAGUGUUUGCCUCAGUCAUCCAUACUGGAAAGCGUCAUACAGGUUUAGUUUUAAGAUCUAUAGCUAUUCACAGCGUGGGUAUAAUUUAGAUGCAAAUUAGUUUCUGGAUAUUUAUAUAAUACAGAGUGCUUAUAAUGUAUUCAUCUACCCAGCUAUUAUCAAAUAUAUUUUUUCUUUCGUUGCAAAAAAAAUCCUUAUAAGGGGAGACAUGAAUUUUAGAGAAGGGGUGUUUAAUUUCCCUUCUAUUCUAA